rnacentral:rRNA from 1 species
AGGUCCAGCCUGCCCAGUGACAAAGUUCAACGGCCGCGGUACCCUAACCGUGCGAAGGUAGCAUAAUCACUUGUUCUUUAAAUAAGGACUAGUAUCAACGGCACCACGAGGGUUGUCCUGUCUCCUUUCUCCUAUCAGUGAAACUGAUCUCCCCGUGAAGAAGCGAGGAUUUAGCCAUAAGACGAGAAGACCCCAUGGAGCUUUAAACCCAACAGCACCCCUUCAUACAUAUACCUCAUAAUCCAAAGAGUGCUGCCCGUUGGUUUUAGGUUGGGGUGACCGCGGAGUACAACUAAACCUCCACAAUGAAUGGGAUGAAACCCUAAUCCAAGAGUAACAGCUCUAAGAAUCAUAAAUUUGACAUAACCUGAUCCGAUUUUUUCGAUCAACGAACCAAGUUACCCUGGGGAUAACAGCGCAAUCCAUUUCAAGAGCUCCUAUCGACAAAUGGGUUUACGACCUCGAUGUUGGAUCAGGGUAUCCCGGUGGUGCAGCCGCUACUAAAGGUUCGUUUGUUCAACGAUUAAAACCCU